rnacentral:piRNA from 1 species
UAGUCCAAAUCAGAUUUGGGGACCUCUGG